rnacentral:lncRNA from 1 species
GUACUGAUUUCUUCUGGAUCGAAAGUUGGAGAUUAUGAUGGGAGAUUUUUACGUCACUAGAGAUCGUUUGUGGCUUGGAUAGGGUGUAAUCAAUUUGACCACUGAGCUAAAAAUCACACAGUAUGGAAUCUCCACGCAAAGGUCCUGCGAGCGUUAUCUGCUCUGACCACAAGUCGUGUUAUAACUCCACCACCUUAAGUGAGAACCAGUCGACAACAGAAAACGCCUGAAACCAAGAGGUAUCAUGAAGUAACAACGCCUGAAAUUCGGCAGCAGCAGUGUAAUUUUUCACAAAGAUUGCGCAGUAAAAUACAGAAACAUCAAUAGUUUGAUCUAUCAUCCUUCUGCCGCUGGAGCAACAGCUUGGGCGGUAACUUCACACCUGAUAACCCCACACCAACAUCGCUAGCCAGUUCCUCACAAAUACAACAAU